rnacentral:rRNA from 1 species
GCAUAUCAAUAAGCGGAGGAAAAGAAACCAACAGGGAUUGCCCUAGUAACGGCGAGCGAAGCGGCAACAGCUCAAAUUUGAAAUCUGGCUACUUUGUAGUCCGAGUUGUAAUUUGUAGAGGAUGCUUUUGGUGAGGUGCCUUCCGAGUUCCCUGGAACGGGACGCCAGAGAGGGUGAGAGCCCCGUACGGUUGGAUACCAAACCUUUGUAUAGCUCCUUCAACGAGUCGAGUAGUUUGGGAAUGCUGCUCUAAAUGGGAGGUAUAUCUCUUCUAAAGCUAAAUAUAGGCUAGAGACCGAUAGCGCACAAGUAGAGUGAUCGAAAGAUGAAAAGCACUUUGAAAAGAGAGUUAAACAGCACGUGAAAUUGUUGAAAGGGAAGCGCCUAUGACCAGACUUGUUUCUUUCAGUUUUGUUAGUUCUCGGACUGAUUUACUCUGUUAGUACAGGCCAGCAUCAGUUUGUUGUCGGGGAGAAAGGCUUAGGGAAUGUGGCUCCUUCGGGAGUGUUAUAGCCCUUUGCAUAAUACCCUUCGGCAGACUGAGGACCGCGCUUCGGCAAGGAUGCUGGCGUAAUGGUCAUCAGCGACCCGUCUUGAAACACGGACCAAGGAGUCAACCUUAUGUGCGAGUGUUUGGGUGUAAAACCCCAGCGCGUAAUGAACGUGAACGUAGGUGAGAGCUUCGGCGCAUCAUCGACCGAUUCUGAUGUUCUCGGAUGGAUUUGAGUAAGAGCACACAGGGUUGGACCCGAAAGAAGGUGAACUAUGCUUGUAUAGGGUGAAGCCAGAGGAAACUCUGGUGGAGGCUCGCAGCGGUUCUGACGUGCAAAUCGAUCGUCAAAUAUGAGCAUGGGGGCGAAAGA